AUUGAACGCUGGCGGCAGGCCUAACACAUGCAAGUCGAGCGGAUGAAGGGAGCUUGCUCCUGGAUUCAGCGGCGGACGGGUGAGUAAUGCCUAGGAAUCUGCCUGGUAGUGGGGGAUAACGUCCGGAAACGGGCGCUAAUACCGCACACGUCCUGAGGGAGAAAGUGGGGGAUCUUCGGACCUCACGCUAUCAGAUGAGCCUAGGUCGGAUUAGCUAGUUGGUGGGGUAAAGGCCUACCAAGGCGACGAUCCGUAACUGGUCUGAGAGGAUGAUCAGUCACACUGGAACUGAGACACGGUCCAGACUCCUACGGGAGGCAGCAGUGGGGAAUAUUGGACAAUGGGCGAAAGCCUGAUCCAGCCAUGCCGCGUGUGUGAAGAAGGUCUUCGGAUUGUAAAACACUUUAAGUUGGGAGGAAGGGCAGUAAGUUAAUACAUUGCUGUUUUGACGUUACCAACAGAAUAAGCACCGGCUAACUUCGUG
rnacentral:rRNA from 1 species